GACGGAAGGUGCAAGCGUUGCUCGGAAUCACUGGGCGUAAAGGGUGCGUAGGCGGCUUGGUAGGUCUGGUGUGAAAGCCCCGGGCUCAGCCCGGGAAGGGCACUAGAAACUGCCAAGCUAGAGUGCCGGAGGGGAGAGUGGAAUUCCUGGUGUAGCGGUGAAAUGCGUAGAGAUGUGGAGGAACACCAGUGGCGAAGGCGACUCUUUGGUCUGUAACUGACGCUGAGGCGCGAAAGCGUGGGGAGCAAACAGG
rnacentral:rRNA from 1 species